ensembl:lncRNA
AUUGUCACGAAGUGACUUUGAGGGCGGAACCAAAAAGUGAGAGGAGAAGUUCCGCCCGGACCGGAAAUAUGCAAACCCUUGUCACUUCCGGAAACUCCGGACGACCCAAAUCAAGGGAAAUCUGCAGCAGGUGUGUCCAAUGAGGUGGCGAUUGCAGACAGGGCAGUUCAUGAGUAUAAAGAGGGCAUCGAGGAUACAGGAAGGUGUGUUGUUUUUGGCCUCCCAAGGAACGCCACGAGUGGGACGGAGUGUUUGGGCGCUGAAGUAGGGCGAAGCAGAUGAGAGUAAUUGUGGAGUCGCUAAGCGAAUUGGAGGAUUUGAAAACGGCCACUGGAACAGGUUUGCCAAAGUGAAGUUUAUGGAAAGAAGUCGUACUCACUUGUGUCUGUUGUACGAAGGUGCCGGAGAGAAAUAGUGACAUUGUGGAACAACGAAGACAUUUCUGGGCGUCUGUACGAAGCUGGGGAGAGAAAGAGAGCGGGAGGAGACAAGUAUUACGAAGACUGUGAGUACAUUGGAUUGCUUGGAUUGUUGUCUUAUAUCUGGAUGAGAAAGAGAGCGGGAGAAGAUCAGUAUCACGAAGACUCUUGUUGAGCGGCCCCAUCGUUGGAGGACGAGACGAGUGGGUGAGCUGAAGUAGAGCGUGGGUGAAUGGAUGUUAUUUGGCUGUGGCCACACCGUAAAGUUUGGAGCACUUACUGUGACAGCGACUGCAAAUUCCUCCAGGACGAAAUCCGACCGGGUGUGGAGUACCGACCUUAAAAAUCACUGAAGUGUGUAGUGCAGUGGGUGAGUCUGUCUUUGACGUGUGUACACUAAAGCUUUGCAGUGCUGUGCCGUGUCCCUGUUGUCUGUAC